UACGGAGGGUGCAAGCGUUAUCCGGAUUUACUGGGUUUAAAGGGUGCGUAGGCGGGUUGUUAAGUCAGUGGUGAAAGAUUCGAGCUCAACUCGAGAACUGCCAUUGAUACUGACGAUCUUGAAUAUAGUUGAGGUGGGCGGAAUGUGUCAUGUAGCGGUGAAAUGCUUAGAUACCAUCAAGAACACCGAUUGCGAAGGCAGCUUACUAGCUGUAACUGACGCUGAGGCACGAAAAGCGUGGGGAUCGAACAGGAGUU
rnacentral:rRNA from 1 species